rnacentral:rRNA from 1 species
AGUGAACGCUGGCGGUAGGCCUAACACAUGCAAGUCGAACGGCAGCACAGUAAGAGCUUGCUCUUACGGGUGGCGAGUGGCGGACGGGUGAGGAAUACAUCGGAAUCUACUUUUUCGUGGGGGAUAACGUAGGGAAACUUACGCUAAUACCGCAUACGACCUACGGGUGAAAGCAGGGGAUCUUCGGACCUUGCGCGAUUGAAUGAGCCGAUGUCGGAUUAGCUAGUUGGCGGGGUAAAGGCCCACCAAGGCGACGAUCCGUAGCUGGCCUGAGAGGAUGAUCGGCCACACUGGAACGGGGACACGGUCCAGGCUCCUACGGGAGGCAGCAGUGGGGAAUAUUGGACAAUGGGCGCAAGCCUGAUCCAGCCAUACCGCGUGGGUGAAGAAGGCCUUCGGGUUGUAAAGCCCUUUUGUUGGGAAAGAAAAGCAGCAGGUUAAUACCCCGCUGUUCUGACGGUACCCAAAGAAUAAGCACCGGCUAACUUCGUG